GCUGCACGCAGACUGAGCUCUGGGCCUUCCUUAGAACAGAUCACCCUGCGAGUGCCCAUCAGAAGCACCGCUGUGGCGUGUGCAUGAGCUGGGCACAGCUUGGGCUGAGCGGGCCGAGCAGGGUUCCUGUCCAAAAGGAGAUUUCAGAGAUCAAGGCAGUCUCAGGAAGAGUGAGGCCAGCUCUUUCCAAGAGCAGAGAAGUUCCUGCAGAGAGAGCCCUGGGAACUUCGGCUUCCUCGGAGACAGCGGUCAUGUCUCAGCAAGGAGACGACUGCAAUUCCUAUUUCUGUCCUGUGAGUGGAGAGGUACGGCUGGGUUUCUUUUGCUUGGUUCUUCUUCCUUUGUCUCAUUUUUAAGGGAAGGGACGGAGCAGGAGGAGCCCUACUGGUCCUUUGUGACCUCAAUAACCGGUUGGAUUCUGCGCCCACUGCUGACAGCCAAGGCUAAUGGCAAGGACAUGGCUCAGGCGGUAUUUUCCCUUAGUGAUAAUUAGCCUCUCAGCACUCUGAUAUCCUAUCUCUGGCAACCUGGGGUGCCCAUUCCCACCACCGUUUCUUCCUUUUUCUCUUCAAAAGCAGGGCGGCGCAGUUCCCUGUGUUUGGGAACAGCAGCCAGCAGGCUGCCAGAGGUCCAACUGCGCCUUUCAGCGCACAGAGGGACGCGACGGGGACGGACCGUCCUUACUGCCAUGCGAAAGGACGGAGCCUGCGCGUCCACAGAAUGGUGCGGGGCAACGGGGAAAACGGAAAGCCUCCGCAGAAGCUGAUGCAAGCGGCCUUCCAGCAAAGCGCAGCCAUGCGGAAGGCCAGGAGAGGAGCGCAGAGUGUGGCACAACACCCAAGAGAGCAGUGGCGACCAGCUUGGAUGUGCCGGAGGACAGCACGGACAUUCAGGGUUUGCUCUCUUGGAUCAGUGGUGAGUUUAGGGGCUGCAGAGCCGCAGGUGUGUGUUUGUACAGAGGGGGUGUGGCAAGGCUGUCCUCACCAUUUUGGGGGAUGUUCUUGCAUUCUCAGAUGUGGCAAGAGCUGUUGAGGUCCCCCACGAGCACCGCAGCAGCCCUGCCCCA